UGGACCAUGUGUGUGCAGAGCCUAUGGAGGCAAGAAGAGGGCAUUGGAUCCCAUCUAUAGGGACUAUAAUUAGGGAUGGUUAUGAAUCCCCAUGUGGGUGCUGGGAACUGAACCUGAGUCCUCUUCAAGAUCAACAAGUGCUAUUAACCACUAAGGUAUCUCUCCAACCCAUGUCCUAUCCCUCCUUUAAAUUUUUCUACAAUUCUCACUUGAUCACCUCUUACUUUUUUUGUCUCUGAUUAAAUUUCUCAAUUGAUCUUGUAUGUUGAUUACUGUGUCCACUAGGAUCUGGACUACAUGACUAAUAGCUAUUUGUAAAUUCAGUAAGUGUGCCGUAUCUGAUUGAUUUUGAUAGUUGUUAAGCUUCUUGGGUGAUAUAUACAAUUUGUUCUGGAAAUGGUAUACCUUCCUAGCUACUAGACCUUUAUAUGAGUGUAGAAUUUGGACAAAACUUUAAGCCUGUCUUUAUGAUUGAGCUCAGUGCCCCCUUUGAAUUCUUACAGUGAUAUCUCAUAUUUAGAAAAGGGAUUGACUUCCUUACCACAUCCGUGUCUUUGUGUCUUCAGCCUUAGGUGUUUUCUCCUAAGUUAUUCAGCAGAGAAUAUCAUUGUGAAUACUACUGUUACCUAAAGCUGGUUUGCUUAUUUGUUGUAUUUUUUUUCUGAGGAUAUGUGAACAAAGGUUUGUUUAUCUUAGCUAGGACAUCGAAGACAGACCAAGGCAUUGAUUCCACUCAGAUUAUUUUGAUAAUCCAGUGAGUUUAUUGGGCUGUAAGCAGAAGGAGCAAAGGAGAAGUAAUUUAUGGUGAAUCACUGAAAGUCCCUACUCUGUCACCCAUAAUGAGUGGUGACAUCAUAAAAGCUGUAUCACAGACUCUUACCUUCAGUUAACAUUCCAUCUCCUACAUUCUCCAGUACCUCACAUAUGCAGCUUGGUGGCUAGAGGGAGAAAUGCCUAAGAUCCCAGGAGACACACUAAACAAUUUAUUAUUUAUACUAAGCUACGAAGGAUUUGAGUGGCUGGUGGCAACAUGAGGCUUUCCCAGGAGAGAUGAAGUCACGGAAGGAGCCAAGGAUGCUGAGAACUUUCUGUGAAGGAGAUACAAGUGAGGAGUAAAGAAUGCCUGCAAGUCUGUGUUUGUCCAUCCUUCUGAAGUUGGGAGAAUUUACAUAGAACCCAUUCAAUUUCUUAGUGUUUUUACAUUAGGAAAAUGAAGCUUUA